UCCUAGCUGUUUGAGAGAUGUCACCACACUGGAGUGAGACACGUCCAGACUCUUACGGGAGCAGCAGUGGGAAUAUGCACAAUGGCGCAAGCUUAUGCAGCCUGCCGCGUGUUGAAGAAGCCUUCGGGUUGUAAGUAUUUCAGUCUGAGGAAGGGUUGUUUUUAUACCUGAUAUCUUGACGUUACUAACAGAAGAAGCACCGGCUAACUCCGUGCCAGCAGCCGCGGUAAUACGGAGGGUGCGAGCGUUAUUCGGAAUUACUGGGCGUAAAGCGCACGCAGGCGGUCAUUAAGUCAGAUGUGAAAGCCCGGGGCUCAACCUGGGAACUGCAUUUGAAACUGGCAAACUAGAGUACUGUAGAGGGUGGUAGAAUUUCAGGUGUAGCGGUGAAAUGCGUAGAGAUCUGAAGGAAUACCAGUGGCGAAGGCCGCCCCCCGGACUGAUAAUUACAGUUCGUGUAGAAAAGCUUGGGAACCAACCGGGUUAAAUUCCCUGGUUGUUCCAGCCCUUAAAGAAGUUUUAUUAGAAGCUGUGACCCUCAGCUGUGUCUUUCGGAGCUAACGCAUUAAGUAGACCGCCUGGGGAGUACGGUCGCAAGAUUAAAACUCAAAUGAAUUGACGGGGGCCCGCACAAGCGGUGGAGCAUGUGGUUUAAUUCGAUGCAACGCGAAGAACCUUACCUACUCUUCACAUACAGAGAACUCACCAGAGAUGCUUGUGUGCCUUCGGGAACUCUGAGACAGGUGCUGCAUGGCGGUCGUCAGCUCUUGUUGUGAGAUGUUGGGUUAAGUCCCGCAACGAGCGCAACCCUUAUCCUUAUUUGCCAGCAGGUAAUGUUGGGAACUCUAAGGAGACUGCCGGUGAUAAACCGGAGGAAGGUGGGGACGACGUCAAGUCAUCAUGGCCCUUACGUGUAGGGCUACACACCUGCUACAAUGGCGCAUACAGAGGGCUGCCAACUCGCGAGGGUAAGCGAAUCCCAAAAAAUGCGUCGUAGUCCGGAUUGGAGUCUGCAACUCGACUCCAUGAAGUCG
rnacentral:rRNA from 1 species